ACGACUACAUAUCAGGCAUAUCAAUAAGCGGAGGAAAAGAAACUAACUAGGAUUCCCUCAGUAACGGCGAGUGAAGCGGGAAGAGCUCAAAUUUGAAAUCUUCAAGGUUUUACCUUGACGAAUUGUAGUUUAAAGAAGUGUUUUCUGUUGGAGUUUUGGUAAAAGUUCUUUGGAAUAGGACAUCAUAGAGGGUGAGAAUCCCGUAUUUGACCAUUAUUUCCAGCUUUGUGAUACACUUUCAAAGAGUCGGAUUGUUUGGGAAUGCAGUCCAAAAUGGGUGGUAAAUUUCAUCUAAAGCUAAAUAUUGGCGAGAGACCGAUAGCGAACAAGUACCGUGAGGGAAAGAUGAAAAGAACUUUGAAAAGAGAGUUAAACAGUACGUGAAAUUGUCAAAAGGGAAGCGUUUGACACCAGUGUUGUUUCUACGAAAAUCAAUUUAUGAUGGCUUGAUGCUAAGCUUUAAGACUUUAUCCGCUUGUUGUUUAGUUUUCUUGUCUUUGUGGAUGCACUUUUCGUGGAACAAGUCAACAUCAAUUUCUUUUGCUGUAAAAGGGUAAGAGGAAGGUGGCUUCGGCUUCGGUUGAAGUGUUUAUAGCCUUUUAUCUCUGCAGUCGGAGAGAUUGAGGUCUGCAGCGUAGACUCUUCGGGGUUAGAUACGUCGGUGCUAAGCUAUAGCUUUUCAUAGACAACUUGUUGACUAUGUUUAGUCAUGUGGCUUACCCGCUGGCGCUAUUUUACCUACGCUUAGGAUGUUGAGCGCAUGUCUCUCUCU
rnacentral:rRNA from 1 species